rnacentral:rRNA from 1 species
ACUCCUACGGGAGGCAGCAGUGGGGAAUAUUGGACAAUGGGCGCAAGCCUGAUCCAGCAAUGCCGCGUGAGUGAUGAAGGCCUUAGGGUUGUAAAGCUCUUUCGCACGCGACGAUGAUGACGGUAGCGUGAGAAGAAGCCCCGGCUAACUUCGUGCCAGCAGCCGCGGUAAU